CAGUAGCCGCGGGAAUAUGAAGGGGGCUAGCGUUGCUCGGAAUGACUGGGCGUAAAGGGCGCGUAGGCGGCUUGUAUAGUCAGAUGUGAAAUUCCUGGGCUCAACCUGGGGACUGCAUUUGAUACGUGCAGGCUUGAGUGUGGAAGAGGGUCGUGGAAUUCCCAGUGUAGAGGUGAAAUUCGUAGAUAUUGGGAAGAACACCGGUGGCGAAGGCGGCGACCUGGUCCAUAACUGACGCUGAGGCGCGAAAGCGUGGGGAGCAAACAGGAUUAGAUACCCCAGUAGUCCCUGUCUCUUAUAC
rnacentral:rRNA from 1 species